rnacentral:rRNA from 1 species
AUGUCUUCAUCGAGGAGGAUUAACAGGGUCGUGCUGAGGAAGCACGUCCCGAUCUUCGAUGCCGAAGAAAAAGAGCAGGAGAACGCGAUCCUCGCCCGCGCGACCAAGGAUUGGGCGGGCGUCAAGGACGGGUCCUGGAUACUGGACCAGUUCUCCCUCGACGCGCACCUCGUCGAGCCGCCGGAGCUCUCCACCUUGUACGUGCGUGCCAAGAUCGAGGCCCGGGAGCGCGGAAUCAAGUGCAUCUUCGAGUCCAUGGCGGAGAACUUCAUCCUCAUGAGGCUGCUGUUGGGCGACAGGGAUUAUGGGCUCGUCUACGACGGCGCCAAGAACACGCUCUCGCUGCUCCCCCGCGUCCCCGGCGCCAACACGAAUUACUUCAUGGCCUGCCUCAUGACGCCCACGGUCUUUCCUGUGCCCUUCGAACUCCUGGAGCGGCCCGCCGUCCUGCCACGCAAGGACGGCUCCUACGAUCUGCUCAACGUGGGGUUCUUCUGGGAAAGGUACGAUGGAGGGUGGCAGUGGAGCGGGAGGGGCAUUCUCUUCCGGUGGUCGAGCCGUGGCCCUGCCGAGUGGACGAAGCAGGUGGCGCGUCUCAGCCCGCAGAUCCGGCUUCCGCGUGAACACCCCGAGCGGCCGUUGCACGAAGCAGACGUGGUCUUCACUUUCAAAGGGAAGGUUUUCUGGGCCGACCUUCUCCAUGGCGCCAUUGUCUGCGACAUGAUCUCCGCCGGUACCAGGGACGACGACCACGUGGAGCUGGAUCUCCCAGAGGAGUGCCAAGGGCGUGACUUCUGGAACAGCUGCCCCAACCCCAAGGAGCAUCGGACCAUGGGCCCAGUCAGGGACUCCAUAAAGUUCAUCUCCAUCGUCACUGCCGACGGUGAGACCCCCCGUGACAACACGCGCCCUGCCGACGUCGUGCUGCGGAGCUGGACUCUGGCGCCGGAUCUUCGCUCCUGGACGAGAGACGACGACAUGGAGCUGCCCUUGACGCUGCUCCUGGAAUCGGAAGCCUACAAGUGCCAGGGGCUGCCGGUCGCAGUGCCGCAGCACCCAUAUCUGAAGCCUGACGAGGAGGGUGUCCUCUACCUCUCGCUGGGAGAUUACUACGUCGACAAGAGAAGAAGGCCACGACUAUGCAUGAAGGUUGAGUAUCUGAUCAGCAUCGACAUGCGCAGGAAGUCUCUCCUGUUCCACAGCCACAUCAAAGAUGGGUUCGCACCGCCCAAAGGAAAAAUGAAUCGUCUGCUAUAG